CCUACGGGUGACAGCAGUAGGGAAUAUUGCUCAAUGGGGGAAACCCUGAAGCAGCAACGCCGCGUGGAGGAUGAAGGUUUUCGGAUUGUAAACUACUUUUGUUAGAGAGGAUAAUGACGGUAUCUAACGAAUAAGCACCGGCUAACUCCGUGCCAGCAGCCGCGGUAAUACGGAGGGUGCAAACGUUACUCGGAAUCACUGGGCGUAAGGUGCACGUAGGCGGGAGAGCAAAUCAGAUGUGAAAUCCUAGGGCUUAACCAUAGAACUGCAUUUGAAACUGUUAUUCUAGAGUAUGGGAGAGGUAGGUGGAAUUCUUGGUGUAGGGGUAAAAUCCGUAGAGAUCAAGAGGAAUACUCAUUGCGAAGGCGACCUGCUAGAACAUAACUGACGCUGAUGCGCGAAAGCGUGGGGAGCAAACAGGAUUAGAUACCCCAGUAGUC
rnacentral:rRNA from 1 species